rnacentral:lncRNA from 1 species
CGGGUUUUUCUGUCUCAGAAUUGGAUUCAUUUCUCGGUCAAAAUAAACUUGAAGGCACAUGUAGACAUAUUUGAGUGUCAAAUAUCACUUUAUGUCAGUACAUUUAAUGUAACAAAAAUAACAAUAUACACAGGAUAUAGGUUUUACUAUUUAUUCGAACUUAUAGAUGUCUCAUAUAAUAUAAGAUAUCUCUUAUACAAU